UACGUAGGGGGGCAAGCGUUGUCCGGAAUCAUUGGGCGUAAAGCGCGUGUAGGCGGUCCGGUAAGUCCGCUGUGAAAGUCGGGGGGCUCAACCCUCGGAUGCCGGUGGAGUACUGUCGGGCUUGAGUACGGAAGAGGCGAGUGGAAUUCCUGGUGGUAGCGGUGAAAUGCGCAGAUAUCAGGAGGAACACCAAUUGCGAAGGCAGCUCGCUGGGACGUUACUGACGCUGAGACGCGAAAGCGUGGGGAGCAA
rnacentral:rRNA from 1 species